CUGUCGCUAAAGGAUGGACCUGCGAUGCAUUAGCUAGUUGGGUAAGGGUAACGGGCUUACCAAGGCGAUGAUGCAUAGCCGAGUUGAGAGACUGAUCGGGCCACGUUGGGACUGAGACACGGGCCCAAACUCCUACGGGAGGCAGCAGUAGGGGAAUCUUCCACAAUGGACGAAAGUCUGAUGGAGCAAACGCCGCGUGAGUGAAGAAGGUUUUCGGAUCGUAAAAAGCUCUGUUGUUGGUGAAGAAGGAUAGAGGUAGUAACUGGCCCUUUAUUUGACGGUAAUCAACCCAGAAAGUCACGGGCUAACUACGUGCCCAGUAGCCGCGGUAAAU
rnacentral:rRNA from 1 species